rnacentral:lncRNA from 1 species
UUUUCUAUAUCCUUUCUGUCAAUUUCAUUGUACUCUUUUCUCCCUUUCGGCACCAAUGGUCUAAGUUUCUUCAUGGGAACAUGUGGACCAUCACAAAUGAUAUCCACAGCUCUCAAUCUUCUGCCAUCAUAAAAUCAUGCAUCCGGGUCUUUCACCAGCCGUAGUAUUGACCAUGAAUCUGGGAUGUCUACAGGUUGAUUGUCCUUCUUCAAAGUUUGGUGGAACAACCAUUGAGGAUCCUUCCUAGGUGUUAGCCUGAUAGGAGAAACCCACUCUGAUACCAAUUGUUGGUUUAUACGAGUCCACCAAACUAUAGAGUACCCGGUCCUCUAUAAAAUGAUACGUAAAAUGCAGUAAAGACUGAAUGUAGAGAAGGCAAGAGAUUUUCUACGUGGAAAAAUC